rnacentral:rRNA from 1 species
GGGAUAACACUUGGAAACAGGUGCUAAUACCGCAUAACCAUAGUUACCGCAUGGUAACUAUGUAAAAGGUGGCUAUGCUACCGCUUUUGGAUGGGCCCGCGGCGCAUUAGCUAGUUGGUGGGGUAAAGGCUUACCAAGGCAAUGAUGCGUAGCCGAACUGAGAGGUUGAUCGGCCACAUUGGGACUGAGACACGGCCCAAACUCCUACGGGAGGCAGCAGUAGGGAAUCUUCCACAAUGGGCGAAAGCCUGAUGGAGCAACGCCGCGUGGGUGAAGAAGGUCUUCGGAUCGUAAAACCCUGUUGUUAGAGAAGAAAGUGCGUGAGAGUAACUGUUCACGUUUCGACGGUAUCUAACCAGAAAGCCACGGCUAACUACGAGCCAGCAGCCGCGGUAAUACGUAGGUGGCAAGCGUUAUCCGGAUUUAUUGGGCGUAAAGGGAACGCAGGCGGUCUUUUAAGUCUGAUGUGAAAGCCUUCGGCUUAACCGGAGUAGUGCAUUGGAAACUGGGAGACUUGAGUGCAGAAGAGGAGAGUGGAACUCCAUGUGUAGCGGUGAAAUGCGUAGAUAUAUGGAAGAACACCAGUGGCGAAAGCGGCUCUCUGGUCUGUAACUGACGCUGAGGUUCGAAAGCGUGGGUAGCAAACAGGAUUAGAUACCCUGGUAGUCCACGCCGUAAAC